rnacentral:tRNA from 4 species
GACACUAUGGCCGAGUGGUUAAGGCGACAGACUUGAAAUCUGUUGGGCUAUGCCCGCGCUGGUUCAAAUCCUGCUGGUGUCG